rnacentral:rRNA from 1 species
GAGAGCUUGCUCUCUGGGUGACGAGCGGCGGACGGGUGAGUAAUGUCUGGGAAACUGCCUGAUGGAGGGGGAUAACUACUGGAAACGGUAGCUAAUACCGCAUAACGUCUUCGGACCAAAGUGGGGGACCUUCGGGCCUCANGCCAUCAGAUGUGCCCAGAUGGGAUUAGCUAGUAGGUGGGGUAAUGGCUCACCUAGGCGACGAUCCCUAGCUGGUCUGAGAGGAUGACCAGCCACACUGGAACUGAGACACGGUCCAGACUCCUACGGGAGGCAGCAGUGGGGAAUAUUGCACAAUGGGCGCAAGCCUGAUGCAGCCAUGCCGCGUGUGUGAAGAAGGCCUUCGGGUUGUAAAGCACUUUCAGCGAGGAGGAAGGGUUCAGNGUUAAUAGCACUGNGCAUUGACGUUNCUCGCAGAAGAAGCACCGGCUAACUCCGUGCCAGC